UUGGGUUCGACGAGUAAUACAUUAAUUUCUGUAAAUUAAAUACCUGACUGAAAAUAGAUAGUUCAUUCAAUAUUCAAUUCAACACAUAAGUAAAUCCACCAAGGAUAUCGCAACUCAAUAAUAUACAAAUAUUAUAACAAUACUCAAAUUCCUUUUCUAUAGUCUGUUUCUGUCAUUCUUUUCAAUCUGUAACAAUUCAAAAGAACCGUAUUCCGCAAGACGAAUUGACACAACUCUAGGCAAAGAAAAAUAAUACCUAUGCUUGGUCACUGUAUAAAAAGGAGUUUUUAAUUGCAAGAAAUCGGGCAGCAGACCAAGUCUGUAUCAAAAGCGUCUAGUCUCUGCUGAGACAUAAUUGAUAAACAGAAUGUUUAGGUUAGAGCCAGCAAUUUGUAUAGAGAUAUCAAAUUUAAUAGUUUAAAUGUUUAAAAGCCGGAAUGCAAUUAAUUUUAGAAGGUAAAUUCAUAGGGUGGUGGGGUAUCAAAACUCCUCAACGAAUAGUUUUCCACGAGUUAUUGGAAAAUAAUAUCUUAAAUGUACAGAAACAAAAUGUUAAGCAUCAGGAAGGGACAACACAAUCAUAAACACUUGGAGGACCAACCACAAGGCGGAAAUAUUAAGAGUUGCAAGCAUGUCUGAGAGAGAAAGGAACUUGAGGGAAUUUAUAGAAUAGAUCUGCUUCAAGGAGUAAGAAUGGGAUAAUUCUAUCGGAGGAUUGGAAUCACAUAUGGCACUGACGUCGUGACUCCCAGAUACCUACAAGAUGGCACACAACAAUUGUGGCGCAUACUUCAACGACUGAACAACACUAACCAUAGACAACUUGAAUUUCUAGCACAAAAGGAGUAAGAAUGGGAUAAUUCUAUCGUAGGAUUGGAAUCACAUAUGGCACUGACGUCGUGCCUCCCAGAUAUCUACAAGAUGGCACACAACAACUGUGGCGCAUACCUUCACAACUGAACACAAAAGAUUUCGGCGAUCAUAUUGAGAUAGACGAGUGCAAUUUCAUUUUCUGCACGUGGGUGCUUUGGAAAUUCUGUUCCAUCCUCAUCGCGAUCUAUAUAAUACUGAGAUUCACUUUACACUAAGUCAAGCAUCAAACCCAAGCCAAAUUGUAGAUGGUUCCACGGCCCAACUGACAAUUAUUUAGUUAAUAUAUUAUGUAAUACUCAAUCGUUCUCAUUGUCAUAAUAGAAUUUGUUAGUUUAAUUGAUAUAAAUAAAUGACAACGUAAUGCCCGAAUGACGUUUUAAUUAUUUACUGCCAAACAGGAAAAAGAAAUAAUAAAAGCUAGAUUAGCGACUGUACCGUCGACAUCGGGGAUGUUAGAUUGUGUUUCGUCUUCGUGCAAAGCAUUUAUGUCUAUCUGCUGCGAAGUUUUCUUUUCAUUUUUUGAAUUUAAUCUCGAAAUCGAAUUCCUCGAGAUUAAGCCUCCAAAGAAUAAGGCGAUAAUUGGGUUCUUUUAACUUUGACAGCCACACUAGUGGGUUAUGGUCCGUUUCGAUGACAAACUUUUGACCGUAUAGAUAGGUACGACUAUAACCAGAUUAUUCAUUCCACAAGCGCUUAUUCUCCUUUUUCUAUAGAUGUAGCAUUUUUACGGAAACAUUUUUUUCAAAACAUGUCCAGACCUCGUUAAAUUUUCUAGGAAAACGAGUUAAAUGUGUAGAAAUCGCUGUUUUAAAAACAUUUUUUGCGUCAAUGAAAGCAUCAAUCUCUUGGCGACAAUUUCAUUUGCUGUCUUGCCCAACUCUACCAUACAGUCUUUGGAAAUAGUCAAAAAAUCGCUGCUCGUAUAACAAAAUCAUCCUAGCAGAAGAGUAAGUGAACACUCUGAUGAGACGUCCGUUUUAACUGGCUGAUGCGUGAACUGCCAGACUCGUAAGUCGAAACGGGCUUCGGCCAUGGCACUAGUCGACUCUCCGAUAAACUUGUUUAAGGUGCCAACAUCAACACACUCGAAACACAAUUGUUCACAUAAAACCUUUCGGACAACUCCCCUCCCAUCUUUCCAGACAACGAGAUAUAAAAUAUGGUAGCCCCUAACAAAAAAGGACCAUUGUUGACUCCAAAAACAAAUCGUCUGUAAAUUUUUUUGCGGCCCUCUGAAGAAGCGAAGGUAGUCUCUGUCAUCUUGAUGAACACAUGCCUUACAAAUGUCCGCUUUUAACCUGAUUUGGCACUGUCUGAACCUGAGUAAGAUGUCCGGAAUUAGCUCAAUUAAGUUCACCUUCUUAUCAAGGCAUUGCUUCAACGAAGGACUUUUCUUCCCUUUGGCUGAAUCGUCAAAAACGGGUCGUAUCUUGAUGAAAUCGAUUUUUUUCGAAGGUAUACGCGCUUGGCAACGUAACUCAU